rnacentral:rRNA from 1 species
AUGCUAUGUUUGAAGAAGAUGAUGCUUUUGAGAAUAUAUUUGCUGCAAUUAAUGUUUGUCCCAAGCUUGGGGAUGCUACGUUUAAUGAAGAUGAUAUUUUUAGUCUCCCAAGUUUUGAUAAGCAAAUUCAUAAUGAUGAUAGCAUGCCACCUACACAUUGAUGAAAGUGUAUUUGGAGAGGUCAUGACUUUAUUUAGUAAUGAUUCCACUAUCUUGGAAGAGGUUUCAAUUGAUUAUGAUGAGAACAAAGUUGCUACUUAUGAUAAUUAUUGUGAUGAUACAUAUGCUAUAAAAAGUAGUGAUGAUUAUAUUUAUAAAACUUGUCAUGAUUAUGAUUACCCUUUUUCUGAACAUUACUCUUUUAAUGUGGAAACAAUUUAUAGUAUUCGAGUCUCUUAUGAUACUCCCACUAUUUUGAAGGAAAAGAAUCUUGCUUAUGUGGAGAGUAGUAAAUUUUCUAUGCUUGUAGAUCAUGAAAAGAAUGCUUUAGGUGCUGGUUAUAUUGUUGAAUUCAUUCAUGAUGCUACUGAAAAUUAUUAUGAGGGAGGAAUAUAUGAUUGUAGGAAUUGCAAUAAUAUCAAGUUUCCUCUCUAUGUGCUUAAAGUUUCAAAGUUAUGCUUGUUUUGCCUUCCUAUGCUAGUUGAUUAUUGUUCCCAUAAGUUGUUUGGUAACAAAAUCCCUAUGCAUAGGAAGUGGGUUAGACUUAAAUGUGUUAGUCAUAUUCUUCAUGAUGCUCUCUUUAUGUUUCAAUUCUUAUCCUUUAUGUGA